GAGAACAAGAAAGCAAAUACUUUAAGUCACAGAGUUAAAAGUGUCAGGCUUUAUAGCACAUACAUAUAUAACUUUAGUGAAUCUAUAUAUAAAAUAAGCUCGGCAUGGAAGAAGAUAAUGACUCUGAGUCAAUGUCUACACUAAAAAUGUCCCAUACGGCCCAUCCCUACAUAUAUCUUCAUGACUGAACAGGCAGCUUACGAACUAUAAAAAAAGCUGCUAUGGAAACAACACAAAAACAGCCGAUUCUCUGGCAUGAUGUCAUUGGGGACGUUGACUGCCAUGCAUUGUGUGGAACUGUGCCUGAAAGCGAGCAAUGGUUAUGCCCACCAUCUUUACAUAACAUAAAUACUCAGACAUUGAAGUCAUGUCCUCCUGAAGAACUAAAAAAACGGAAGAAUCAAUGGAGUGGCCUACAGGGCCACUCUGACCCCUCGUCUGAUGUCACAUCCUGUCUUUUAUUCCCUUCUUCCUUCCUCCAGACAUUCAGUUGUGAGAGAGUCUAUUUCUGAUGGGCUACACAUGCCUGAGCUCAUUUACUUUAGGCAUAACCCAAAAGGUCACGAGUCAAACUGACAUCCCGUAUUCUGCUAAACAUGAGAAGAUACUUAAAUAUAAGAAUAAGAUGUACAAAUAUAAAAGAUAUAAAAAGAUAUAAUAUAUCGACAGCCUCAAUUCCCAUUAUGAAAAAUAGCACUUCACAUCAGAAUCGGAAAUUAGCAGGUGCUUGGGGCAAAAAUGCCACCAAAACAAACAAAAAUGUCCCCCAAAUUUAAGAUAAGGGGGCAAAAAUUUAAUCUUAAUCAAUUAUGACUGUCACAAUUAAAAUGAAAUGUGAAAUUGAAUGAAAAGUGUCGACUGCGUCAUUACAUUUAGAUCUGCACACUUUGCAUCAAAGGUUUCUUUUUACACUUUUUUCAGGGUUGAGGGUUAAAAAAAAAAUCACACACAUAUCUGUUGAGGAUAUGAAUGCAAAGGCCAAUAAAACGCAUUUAGAUUAGUCACCGGUCACAGCCUACUUUACAUACGCUGAGAUAAAUUACAUUAAUCUCCUAACAUUACGCUAUUGUUGUGUGCCAUCUUUGAGUAGUGUUAAGCAUGCAUAGGCGGAGGGUGAACCAACUCCAGGGUAAAGCUAAGGAGAUGCGCUUCCCUGUUAAAAACAAAUAAACUUCCUUGUAAUAGUUUCAAUUUACGUGUCGUCGCACAACCUACACAGCCCAGCAUAAACACUCCUGAUAAAUUAUUUGUUAUUAAAGCCACUGUUAAUUUUAACAGAAAAGCAAGCAUGCUGUAUGCGGGAUUUGGCAUGGUAGAAAGUACAUAAUGUCUACACUUUGUUAUUAAGAGAGGAUUUGCGAAGGUGCAGAACUCAAAAUCCACUCACCGCUCAAAACACCAGAGUUUUUGUUUAGUGCUAACUUAAACACCUCUGAUUGGCCAUUGCGUUCAAGAACUCAACAGAUAUGUUUGUGACUGGCUACAUUGCUCAAUGCUGCAACAACACAUUGUAAACAGAAAGCUUUGACGUUCUCCGGAGCACAAACACAAAUACGCACUGGAUUGUUUGCCAAAUCUAUUUCACCCAAUAUACUAUUAUUACGAAGAAAACUGAUCCUAGACCAGCAGUUAUGGGCAGCAAUCAGAAGCAGCAGCAGUCAGUGGUUUAAGUGAGAAAAUUAUACGCUAGUCCCAAGGCUAAGUCUUGCCCAGCCUUACACACGCGCCACCCCUGUAAGCAUGUCAUGUGAAUUAACUGAAUAUAUUGUCAAUUAAUUGAAUAUACUGUCAAAUAUUUGACAUAAAAGACAACACAGAUACAUUUAAUAAGGUAAUUCUAAAAACUGCCAUUACAAAUAUUGCCCCUUAAUUGAAAAGUUAAUUUCAGACUCUGCUCCAAACAUUUUGUAAUGCAUCGUCUUUGGUGUUUCAAACAGAAAGUCAUAAGGUUUGAAACAACAUGAGGGUGAGUAUGAUAAGAAAAUGUGCAUGUUUUGGUGAACUAUUCCUUUAACAAAAUCAAAUCUGAAAAUUAUUUACAAAAAAAAAAAAAAAAUCUGGUUAUAGCUAUAUCAUUAGGGCACUGCGGUUCUUCACAAAGACAGAACAUGCAAUGAAUUUGUUAGUGCCACUAUUUUUCUCUAGCCAAGUAUUUUUUUUUCUCCACUUUGACUCUGAUUGAUAAGUAGUCCCUAAUAACAGAUGUUUGAUUUCCUAAAAAAAAUGUGGGGAAAAAACCCAACCUACCCCCUGACUGUGCUGUGCAGCUAAAAUUAGUCCUAGCCGUGACUCACUCUUCGCCCUCACUACAGCAACAGCAACACUUCCUCAAUUACAGCCGAUCGGAGAAGCUCUGAGGUGACUGAGAUGCUCUCACCAGAUUACAUGGCCAUCUGAUUGGCUGCUGCUCUGUGGUCACCUGACUUUGUGAGCAAGUGAUUGGUUAAUCUGUGGCUCACGUCACAGUAGCCAACAUCUCCCACAGGUAGAGACUCAUUUAUCCCCAGGCUGCUAUUACGGUCUCUUCCACUUAAUGCACUAACCUGAGUGUGUUUAUUUAUGUGCCUUUGCACAACUAGUAAAAAUCAAGACAAAUUCUAACUACAUACAUAUAAAGAGUGUCUAGUGAAGCUCCAGAUUGGUUUGGAAAGCAGUACUGCUCCAGUUAUAUAUGAGACAAAGGUCAUACAGAUAAACACUCUUACAGAUAUUGACACAUACAGAUCCUCUCUCAGAAGAGCUAUGAGCAAGAGGAGCAAACUCCAUUGAAAGGAAUGCAGUGAAGAAAUGACAGAAAUAACUGCAAGGGUAUCACAUGAAGAGAAUUAACUUCACAGAUGACGCACGCACCUCACAACACUCUUGAGGUUUGGAACGACUUGAGAGGAUGUAAAUGAUGAGUGACCACAUUUCUCUUGGACAUGCAGCAGUAUCGAACCCCUUGGGACUGAGAACAUGUUGACUUUUUAAAGGGAACAGGGAUGGGACAAACUUGCUCAUCAUCAAUGUGGGACAGGUGCUCUGCAAUGUUCAUUUCCACUUUGAAAUCAAGUCAUGUGUUUCCUCUCUUUAUGGUUCCUGAGACAGCUCUAGUUCUCAUUCAAAACUGUGGGAGAAAAAAUUCUAUAUUCUUAUUGCUGUUUUAAAAUGAGUGUUUGUGUGUAAUUUCACAGAAAAUUCAAAGUUGACUUGAUCAGGUAAUUUGUUUUUUGUUUUGUUUUUUAGAUAUUUUUCCUAUUUCAUUAGUGUGAAACAAGAAAGGGAUGCAGCGCGUGGUUAAACCUGUGGUUUUAACGCCCCUCAGGCAGUCGAGUCUUUAACCCCAAUUACAGAGAAAAGGAGGGUCAGUCAGGACACCUUCAAAAACCUGACAUGCUUUAGCGCAGGUAGAAAUCACUUUCUUUCACUCAUACACUGCAUCUAAUUCAGCAGAUAUGUGGCGACGUUUUAGUGACAACACACACUCUUUAAUAAUCUGCCUGUGUCUAAAUUGUCACAUUAAUGUUUUGUCUGUAUUUAUUGCAUACAUACAUAUACUUUGUGUAUUAUAUGUGUAAGUUAUCAUGUAUUUUUAUGGUAUUUUAUGUUUUUGUCUGAGAACUGUCCUAAAUGUAUAGCUGCUAUAUCUAUCCAUCACAUACAAACACAUUUCCCAUACUAGCGUCUAAUAUAAGGCAUAGCAUUUCACUGCAAAUGAAAAGAAAAACAAGAAAUCAUAUUUUGAAUAAAGUAAAUAACAAAAUAAACCCCUUCAGGAUGACUCAAGUCCCCUAUGCUUAACAUCAAAGGUCCUGAUCACCCUGUGUCAGUUUAUUUUAGACAUUGAGCAGCUGACUGUACAUUAUCCCUUACAUAACUCCUUCAAUUGACGUUUUCUGUGAAUUCAGCAGUAGUCUGGCGCCCUUUGUCAUCACCCAUGACCUCACUACCACAAGCCAAUCGGAGCCCAGCAUCUCUCACUGAGGGCACUGACAUGUCUGCAUCACUCUGCUGCAGCUAAUGUUUAAUCCUGCUCUAUAAAUAAACUCUGAUCAGCCAGAGAGCGGAAGACAGUG